CAGGGAGACAAACAACGAUUUUGAUGCGUGAGUACUUUUAUUCUUAGGCCUAAAUCCUGUCACCUUAGGUCGAUCGGUACCUCAAUUUUGAAGUCAAGGAUUGGCAGCGAUGUUGAUUGCUUGAUGGAGAAUUUCAGUUCCUAAACUUUGUCUAGGUCACACCCCAAAAGGGAUGAGACUCCUGGGCCAUUAGCUCAGGUGGUUAGAGCGCACCCCUGAUAAGGGUGAGGUCCCUGGUUCAAGUCCAGGAUGGCCCAUUCGUUGUUGGGGGUAUAGCUCAGUUGGUAGAGCGCCUGCUCUGCAAGCAGGAUGUCAGCGGUUCGAGUCCGCUUACCUCCACUGAUCAACUACCUGAUAACUCAAAUUGGAGAUUGUUAUUUGUUAAAUGUGAUUUAGAUGUUGUUCAACUGAAGGAACCUAGCUUCCUAUCACUCCUGAAUUAACUUUAGGCUGAUAAGACGCUGGGCUCACUGGAUGUUCUAAGGGACAUUCAGUUUGUUUCAGCAGAACCUUGACAACUGCAUAGGUGAGUCUGGAAAAGAAUAAAGCAUCUCAUGGAUACAUUGUUCUUUCAAACUAAAUUAAAAUCUUAUAUUUUAGGAUUUAAUUUAGUUUAAGUCCAAUGUUAAAUUCUUGAGCAAGAGCCGAGACUCUGAAAUGUUCUUUUAAUGUGAAUAUCAUUAAGAGUUAGAUUUUUAAUUUACCAAUUUAUAACUAAUAAAUUGAGCCUAAAUUAAUAAGAAAGGUGUUGACAACACCAUGACAUUUUAGAGAUUAAAU
rnacentral:tRNA from 1 species